AAAUGUGAAGUCGACUCUUGUAUAUUUCUUGUAAUCCUUAGACGAACAGAUAAUUGGUUUAACAAUCCACUGCUGGCAUAGGUGCAUUACCUAGAUUGUAAAAAUCUAACCCCCAACCGCCGCGGACGGUCUAAUCCAUCUGACCUGUGCUCUCCACGACUCGCAUACCACGCAGCCGCCGCCCGUCGCCCUUUUUUCUCCGUCUUUCUUCUUCCGCAGCUCCGUUGCUGCCUCUGCAGAUCCGGCGCCACUAGCCUUCCCACACUCCUGACGUGCGCGCUGCAGAUCGAGACGGCGCAGGACGAGCUCGACGUGCGGCAGGAGCAAAUCGGGGCUUCCCGCUUGCUCGCUGCAGCCACCUCCCACACUGCGGCGGCGCUGCUCCUUCUCCUCGACGUCCGCCGCCUACGCCUCCGCCACCUCCUCGGCGUGCCCCGAUGUCUUCAUCUCCGGAGAUGAGGGUGCUUCACCUCAGGAUCCACAAGGGCCUACUGUACUGCACAUAUUGCCGCGGACCCCUCCGGCCUAACGACUGUAUGCGCAAGCCUUGGAUGGUGGGUGAGAUGAGGUCCACGCAAAGUUUUUGUUAGUGGAUGAGGGUGUUGUUAGUGUGCUAUUACAGUACUCACCGUGGAUUGGUGACUCGUGUGAUUCUGACAAUUUCUAAAAAUGUGUUUGGUAGUUGUACUUUUCGCUAUAUGCAUCUUCAACAUCAGCUGAUUCACGGGCAUCUUGUGUACCCUAGCCUCGUGUAGCACCUUUGUUUGUUUGUCGAAAGAGUUUUUUGGGUUCUGCGUGCACGGGCAUUUACAUAACAAAGAGAAUGUUGACAAUAUGUCCCAUAGUUGAGCCUAUUGCCAAACUAAAGCUUCACAACAUCUGAACUCUUCACAUCUAACUCGUGUUUGUUUGUUUGUUCUUGUAACCUGAGAGUGGCAUUAGAGUGGCUGAAAACACCUUCAAGACACCUGCAUGUAAUAAGAAAGUAAAUAUUGCAACGCCAUAUGAGCAGAAAACAAGUACUUGCUUUUAUCUAAUAUGCUUUCUUUAUGGGUUAAUUAUAUAUGUGCCAUCGUAGAGUAGGUAUGAUAUAGAUUAGCCAUAAAGGUACAGAUUAUCUUAACCCACAACCUACGACAAAGCGGUUUUGGUUUUUUUACGUCAUGGUGUUGGACUUGAUGCGCAUAGAUCCGGUAAAGGGGGAGCUGCUAUCAAUGGAGGUUACACGCCAUGAACGUGAAAUGACCCUUGCUGCUCGAUCUCCUCUACGAAAUUAAAGUCUGCUGCAGCUGCAGGCAGGUGGGAAGUCGUAUGGUUCCUGUAGCAGAAGCUAGUGUUCCAAUUGGAUGUGACGGUCGAUAGGACGUGUCGCAGCAGCCGAGGCGUAGAUGACAGGACUCGUGGCAGCAGCAGCUUGUGCCUAGUCCACGACCAGGCGUAGCACCCCCGCCCGUCCCAUGCCAUCAAUGCUGUCAUAGAGAAGCGGGAGCCAACCUAAAGGCGUCUGUCGCGCGCGUUGGCGAGCAGGCGUGCGUGGAGGCAAAGGCAUGCUACCCACUGUACCAUGCAUGCCGGGGCUUAUCUAGCUGUGCGCCCCCUCGCCCCCAAGCUCUCUCCCCCCCGAGCUCUCUCCUCCGCGAGCCACCGCCUCCGCCCCCAAGCUCUCUCCUCCGCUAUCCUGCUACCUCGCUUGUGCAGAUCCUGAUUUCUUGCGUGGUGCCUCCUUCACGGUCUCCUCAUCCUUGUAACAUCCGUGGCCUCCAUCACGCGCUCUAAUGUCUUCAUCUUCGGCCAGGUCUGUUGGAAGUGUUUGCAAGAUUCGUCUUAACUGCUCUGUUUGUGAAUCAGCGCUGGUUGAUGGGCUUUUUCAGUGCUCCAAUGCCCUUUCUUUAAAGUCACAAUGUAGAGUGGCACUCUGUUCUAAUUGCGCAGAAAAGCAUACCAUGAGAUUUGGACAUCCUACUCCUCGAAUAUUGGCCUUUGACCCUAUCAUCGCAGAUGGUAUAUUUUAUUGCCCGGUUGACGGAUGUGAUCAAGAACUAUCUGCAUCUCAAUACAAUGAACACGUGAUUAUGUGUUCUCACGGAGAACUCUCAUGUCCAUUAUGUUCUCAACCGCUCGCCUUGAAUUCACUGUGUGCACAUCUUGUCAGCGGACAUGAGUUCAAUGAUGUCCAACUAAGUUAUGGUCAUAUCAUUGAGUCUGAAAUUUCUAAGUAUGAAGGGUGUAUUUUUAGGAGCACAGAGGAAGCCUUUAUAUUUUUUAUAUUAGACAAAACCCUCUACCUUAUUUGGAUCGGAAGCUUAUCUAAUCCUCCAGAUUUUAAACUUAUGAUGGCUGUGGCUAAUAUUGAGACUGGAGAGAAUUUUGGUGUCGUCAGACAGGGUGCAGUACCCAGACGUUCUGACCUUUUUCGGGUUAUGAGCUUCAAGCGGGUCCCUGCUAAUGUUUUCAAGAUUAGUAUUAUGAUAGAUUAGUUUGUAUUAGUUAAGUUGUUGGUUCAUGUUUGGACCUUUUAACUAGUCUGCUAUUGGUAAUGGUCAUGAUGUAAAAACUAAAACUAUGGAGCCUGUGCUUCUUCUACGCUAAAUGUAUGUCGGGUGGUUGGUUGUUGUAUUUAGAAUUUGUUAAAUGUUUUGUUGGAUGUGAUAACUGUGUUGUCAUAUUUGGACCUUUUAGAGCGCAGACUACGUUAACAUAGUUCCGAGCCGCCGGGACCGGUGAGCUCGACGUGGGCUCAUGGGGAGGGGAGGAUAUGUGACAGGUGGCGGAAGAACAGGGAGAGGGAGCUCGGGUUUGCUUUGUGGAGAAGAAGAGCAAAGACAGGAGGGGCAAGGCUUGGGACAAUGUUAGGUCGAAGAAUAGGGGGAUGUCUAGAGUCUACUGUGAUAGCAUGGUGCGGUUUGGGGUUUAUGCGCGGUGGACUAUCGAUCUGCAGCACAAGUAAUCUCUGGUAGAUAGAAAAAUGAGCAGCCUCGAGACAGAUCAGUUGAUCUUCCCACUUGUUUUGGUGAUGAGGAUAUAAAGGGAGAUUCAGUGUAUAGGGUUAACAAAGAGGCUGAUUCCAAUCCUGAUGAGCACAAUGAGGCUGCUGGUGAACAAAAUUGUGGGGAAGCAUCAUUGAUCAAUGAUGAGCCCACUGAUGCAACAUCAGCUGAUAGUUUGGAUCAUGGCAAGACAUGCCAGGAUAGUUCUUCGAUUCCAAACAACAAUGUUCUUGCUGCUAGUGCAUGUCAGUUCAGAAAUGUUGUUGCCAUUGUGGACCCUCCACGUGUUGGCCUUCACCCUACUGUGAUCAAGGCAUUGAGGACUCAUCCACUCAUUCGACGUCUAGUGUACAUUUCCUGCAAUCCAGAUAGCCUAGUCGCCAAUGCGAUCGAGCUGUGCACCCCAACAUCUGAGAAACAAGAAAAGAACAAAGGCAACCAAGGAUGGCGAUCUAUGAGUGCUGCUGGUCUUGCUAGGCAGCGGACGAAGUCCAUGCCAAACUCUGAGCCUUUUAUCCCCAAGAGGGCGAUGGCAGUGGAUCUGUUUCCUCACACCUCGCACUGCGAGAUGGUUAUGCUUUUCGAGAGGUGAGGGAAGUGUCUGCCUAUGCAAGGCAUCGUGCCUCAAAUUCCUGUUAGUCAUUUUAACCAUUGUGUGUCGAGGACCAUAUCAGUUUUCCUCAGUUUGGUCCUCAUAUUGUAACAUGCUUAGUAACAUCUAUUUGGUUGAGAAGCCAUGACAUUUGAUGGUUACUGUUUGAUAUUCAGCAUCAUCUUGAUAGGAUCGGCUACUUCAGCGUUGAUACACAUUCUGUUUCCUGUUAAACGGACGCCAGAGGAUUUAAGUACCAAAUGUACCUGCUCCAGCUUUUAUAUGGAUGGUCCAAUCUGGAGUGGCAUCCUAGUCAGGGAAAACCAUACAUAAGUACUGGAGCUAUUGUUGGCUCGAUUCCAACUGUGAUAGCACUUAUCUUUUUGUUCAUUGUUUUGCGAGUGGGUUUGUCCUUUUUUUCA